rnacentral:lncRNA from 1 species
UAUUAGUGUUCUGACAAUGGAAAAGUUCCUAACCGCAUGUCUGUAUUACACCUAUGACACAGACUGUCAGUAUUGCAAACCCUAUGUGCUUUCACUGUUUAUGUAUACACCCCUAGACGACCGUGCUAUACAAACACAAUAAAUCUUCAAAAUCUUAUUAAUAUUAUAUCUGUGUGGUACACAAAUAGGUGUACACAAAGAGGGGUGUGAGUUAAGUCAUCUCGACCUUCAUAUGGAAUAUGCUUCCUCCUUGUUCACUUUUGGUCAAACUGUUGGUCUGUGACUGGCCCUCUUUGAACUGAAUUUCUUGGGAAGAUUCAUGAGAAAGAUACAGCAGGUUGUUUUGGAUAUAAAGAAAGAGGGAAAAGUAUGUUGUAUCGGUCACAAAAGGAUUGUGAUCUUAAGCAGGCGAGACAAAGAAAGUUUGGAGGUGAUAGAUUGAAUCAGAAAAGUUUUAGAGGCAGAGGUAGAGAAUUUGAUCAAAGGAUUUAACUUUUGUAGAGAUGGUAACUUCAGCACUGUUUUAAUUGUGGGUAGAAGGGAUUCACCCCAAGGUGCUUGUGUUCUCCUGGCCCAGCUGGCAUUCAAGGACUCCCACCCUGGCAGGUUCCUCAAUA